UACGAAGGGAGCUAGCGUUGUUCGGAAUCACUGGGCGUAAAGCGCACGUAGGCGGAUGUGUCAGUCAGGGGUGAAAUCCCGGAGCUCAACUUCGGAACUGCCUUUGAUACAGCACGUCUUGAGUCCGAUAGAGGUGGGUGGAAUUCCUAGUGUAGAGGUGAAAUUCGUAGAUAUUAGGAAGAACACCCGUGGCGAAAGCGGCUCUCUGGAACGGUACUGACGCUGAGACGCGAAAGCGUGGGGAGCAAACGGG
rnacentral:rRNA from 1 species